UCCAGACUCCUACGGGAGGCAGCAGUGGGGGAUAUUGCACAAUGGGGGAAACCCUGAUGCAGCGACGCCGCGUGGGUGAAGAAGUAUUUCGGUAUGUAAAGCCCUAUCAGCAGGGAAGAAAGAAAUGACGGUACCUGACCAAGAAGCCCCGGCUAACUACGUGCCAGCAGCCGCGGUAAUACGUAGGGGGCAAGCGUUAUCCGGAUUUACUGGGUGUAAAGGGAGCGUAGACGGUGCAGCAAGUCUGAUGUGAAAGGUCGGGGCCCAGCCCCGGGACUGCAUUGGAAACUGUUGAACUGGAGUACAGGAGAGGUAAGCGGAAUUCCUAGUGUAGCGGUGAAAUGCGUAGAUAUUAGGAGGAACACCAGUGGCGAAGGCGGCUUACUGGACUGUAACUGACGUUGAGGCUCGAAAGCGUGGGGAGCAAACAGGAUUAGAUACCCCCGUAAC
rnacentral:rRNA from 1 species